UACGGAGGGUGCCAGCGUUAUUCGGAAUCAUUGGGUGUAAAGCGCGUGUAGGCGGCCUGGAAAGUCAGAUGUGAAAGCUUCGAGCUUAACUCGGAAAGUGCAUUUGAAACUCCCAGGCUUGAGUCUCGGAGAGGAAGAUGGAAUUCCCAGUGUAGAGGUGAAAUUCGUAGAUAUUGGGAGGAACAUCGGUGGCGAAGGCGAUCUUCUGGACGAAGACUGACGCUGAGACGCGAAAGCGUGGGGAGCAAACAGG
rnacentral:rRNA from 1 species